rnacentral:lncRNA from 1 species
ACCAUAUUUUUUAUAAUAUCCAUUUUAAUAUAUGAAUAUAAAAAUUAAAUUUUUUUGUUAAUGGAGUUAUUAGUCUUGUAAUUAAAAGAAUAUGGUGUUCUAUUUUUUUUUCAUUUUUUGAAACAUACUUUUUAAUCGGUACAUACGACAUAGCCAAGUAAUAUAUACUAAAAAUAUUAAUCAUCCAGUAAGUCAAUAUAUAUCUCUAUAUAAAUUGUUAUAUAAUUUUUAGAAUAUAAAAUUUAUCAGUA